rnacentral:rRNA from 1 species
AUUGAACGCUGGCGGCAGGCCUAACACAUGCAAGUCGAGCGGAGCGGCGUACGGGUGAUUAAUGCCUAGGAAUUUGCCUGGUAGUGGGGGAUAACGUCCGGAAACGGGCGCUAAUACCGCAUACUAUUAGAUGAGCCUAGGUCGGUUUAGGUUGUUUGUGGGGUAAAGGCCUACCAAGGCGACGAUCCGUAACUUGUCUGAGAGGAUGAUCAGUCACAACGGAAAGGAGAAACGGUCCAGACUCGUACGGGAGGCAGCAGUGGGGAAUAUUGGACAAAUGGCGAAAGCCUGAUCCAUCCAUGCCGCGUGCGUGAAGAAGGUGUUCAGAGUGUAAAGCACUUUAAGUUGGGAGGCGUUACCAACAGAAUAAGCACCGGCUAACUACGUGCCAGCAGCCGCGGUAAUUC